AGUGAACGCUGGCGGUGGGCCUAAUACAUGCAAGUCGAACGGAAGGACAGUAAGCGUUCGUCUCUACGGGUGGCGGGUGGCGGGUGGGUGAGGAAUAGAUAGGCAUCCACUUAUACGUGGGGGACAUCGUGGGGACACUUACGAUAAUACAGCAUAUGUUUUACGGCUGAGAUCAAAAGAUCAUGGCAGUCUGCGUGAUACAUUGAGACGGUGCCGGAUUAGCUAGUUGGCAAGGUAAAGGAACACCAAGGCAACGAACCAUAGCUGACCUGAGAGGGUGAUCGGCCACACUGGAACUGAGACACGGUCCAGACUCCUACGGGAGGCAGCAGUAGGGAAUAUUGCGCAAUGGGCGCAAGCCUGACGGAGCAACGCCGCGUGAGUGAUGAAGGUCUUCGGAUCGUAAAACCCUGUUAUUAGGGAAGAAAAUAUGUGUAAGUAACUGUGCACAUCCUGACGGUACCUAAUCAGAAAGCAACGGCUAACUACGUG
rnacentral:rRNA from 1 species